AGGGUGCGUAGGCGGCUUUUUAAGUCAGUGGUGAAAUCCUGCCGCUUAACGGUAGAAUUGCCAUUGAUACUGAAGAGCUUGAGUUCAGUUGAGGUAAGCGGAAUGUGUAGUGUAGCGGUGAAAUGCUUAGAUAUUACACAGAACACCAAUUGCGAAGGCAGCUUACUAAACUGACACUGACGCUGAUGCACGAAAGCGUGGGGAGCGAACAGGAUUAGAUACCCUGGUAGUCCACGCCGUAAACGAUGUUCACUCGCUGUUUGCGAUACACAGCAAGCGGCCAAGCGAAAGCAUUAAGUGAACCACCUGGGGAGUACGAUCGCAAGGUUGAAACUCAAAGGAAUUGACGGGGGCCCGCACAAGCGGAGGAACAUGUGGUUUAAUUCGAUGAUACGCGAGGAACCUUACCUGGGCUUAAAUGUAGAACGACAGAUUGUGAAAGCAGUCCUUCUUCGGACGUUUUACAAGGUGCUGCAUGGUUGUCGUCAGCUCGUGCCGUGAGGUGUCGGGUUAAGUCCCAUAACGAGCGCAACCCUUAUCGUUAGUUGCCAGCGGGUCAAGCCGGGGACUCUAGCGAGACUGCCACCGUAAGGUGUGAGGAAGGUGGGGAUGACGUCAAAUCAGCACGGCCCUUAUGUCCAGGGCUACACACGUGUUACAAUGGCCGGUACAAAGGGCAGCUACUUCGCGAGAAGAUGCUAAUCUCGAAAGCCGGUCUCAGUUCGGAUCGAAGUCUGCAACCCGACUUCGUGAAGCUGGAUUCGCUAGUAAUCGCAUAUCAGCCAUGAUGCGGUGAAUACGUUCCCGGGCCUUGUACACACCGCCCGUCAAACAAUGGAAGCUGGGGGUACCUGAAGUCUGUAACCGAAAGGA
rnacentral:rRNA from 1 species